rnacentral:rRNA from 1 species
GACGUAGGGCGCGAGCGUUGUCCGGAUUUAUUGGGCGUAAAGAGCUCGUAGGCGGCUUGUCGCGUCGACUGUGAAAACCCGUGGCUCAACCAUGUGGUCUGCAGUCGAUACGGGCAGGCUAGAAUUCGGUAGGGGAGACUGGAAUUCCGGGUGUAGCGGUGGAGUGCGUAGAGAUCCGGAAGAACACCGGUGGCGAAGGCGGUCUGCUGGGGUAAUGCUGACACUGAUGCGCGACAGCGUGGGGAGCAAACAGG